rnacentral:rRNA from 1 species
AGAGUUUGAUCCUGGCUCAGAACGAACGCUGGCGGCGUGCUUAACACAUGCAAGUCGAACGAGAAAGUUUCCUUCGGGAAGCGAGUAGAGUGGCGCACGGGUGAGUAACGCGUAGGUAAUCUACCCUUAUAUUUGGGAUAACAUUGGGAAACUGGUGCUAAUACCGGAUAAUCUUUUUUAAUGCGAGUUAGAGAGAGUAAAGGUGGCCUCUUCAUGAAAGCUACCGUAUAGGGAUGAGCCUGCGUACCAUUAGCUAGUAGGUGGGGUAACGGCCCACCUAGGCAACGAUGGUUAGCGGGUCUGAGAGGAUGAUCCGCCACACUGGAACUGGAACACGGACCAGACUCCUACGGGAGGCAGCAGUGAGGAAUAUUGCGCAAUGGGGGCAACCCUGACGCAGCGACGCCGCGUGAGUGAGGAAGGUUUUCGGAUCGUAAAGCUCUGUCAGAAGGGAAGAAGUGCUAUGUGGUUAAUACCCAUGUAGUUUGACGUACCUUCAGAGAAGCACCGCUAACU